GACGAACCGUGCAAACGUUAUUCGGAAUCACUGGGCUUAAAGGGCGCGUAGGCGGGCGGUCAAGUCAGGGGUGAAAUCUUUCGGCUCAACCGGAAAAGUGCCUUUGAUACUGGCCGUCUGGAGGGAGGUAGGGGCGUGCGGAACUUUGGGUGGAGCGGUGAAAUGCGUAGAUAUCAAGCGGAACACCAGUGGCGAAGGCGAGUCCCUGGACAACACCUGACACUGAGGCACGAAAGCUAGGGGAGCAAACAGG
rnacentral:rRNA from 1 species